rnacentral:tRNA from 1 species
GAAAUGAUACCGGAUGGGGUGGUUGGGAUUCCGUUUACGGCCGAGUAGAACAUGUAGGUUCGAUCCUGUUUACUUUU